rnacentral:rRNA from 1 species
GAUGAACGCUGGCGGCGUGCCUAAUACAUGCAAGUCGAGCGAACGGACGAGAAGCUUUCUUCUCUGAUGUUAGCGGCGGACGGGUGAGUAACACGUGGAUAACCUACCUAUAAGACUGGGAUAACUUCGGGAAACCGUAGCUAAUACCGGAUAAUAUUUUGAACCGCAUGGUUCAAAAGUGAAAGACGGUCUUGCUGUCACUUAUAGAUGGAUCCGCGCUGCAUUAGCUAGUUGGUAAGGUAACGGCUUACCAAGGCAACGAUGCAUAGCCGACCUGAGAGGGUGAUCGGCCACACUGGAACUGAGACACGGUCCAGACUCCUACGGGAGGCAGCAGUAGGGAAUCUUCCGCAAUGGGCGAAAGCCUGACGGAGCAACGCCGCGUGAGUGAUGAAGGUCUUCGGAUCGUAAAACUCUGUUAUUAGGGAAGAACAUAUGUGUAAGUAACUGUGCACAUCUUGACGGUACCUAAUCAGAAAGCCACGGCUAACUACGUG